CUAAUCCCACCUAACCCCACCAAA
rnacentral:miRNA from 1 species